GAGAUAGAGCCUUCCCCUUCGGGGGACAAAGUGACAGGUGGUGCAUGGUUGUCGUCAGCUCGUGUCGUGAGAUGUUGGGUUAAGUCCCGCAACGAGCGCAACCCUUAAGCUUAGUUGCCAUCAUUAAGUUGGGCACUCUAGGUUGACUGCCGGUGACAAACCGGAGGAAGGUGGGGAUGACGUCAAAUCAUCAUGCCCCUUAUGAUCUGGGCUACACACGUGCUACAAUGGACAAUACAAAGGGCAGCUAAACCGCGAGGUCAUGCAAAUCCCAUAAAGUUGUUCUCAGUUCGGAUUGUAGUCUGCAACUCGACUACAUGAAGCUGGAAUCGCUAGUAAUCGUAGAUCAGCAUGCUACGGUGAAUACGUUCCCGGGUCUUGUACACACCGCCCGUCACACCACGAGAGUUUGUAACACCCGAAGCCGGUGGAGUAACCAUUUAUGGAGCUAGCCGUCGAAGGUGGGACAAAUGAUUGGGGUGAAGUCGUAACAAGGUAGCCGUAUCGGAAG
rnacentral:rRNA from 1 species